rnacentral:rRNA from 1 species
AUUGAACGCUGGCGGCAGGCUUAACACAUGCAAGUCGAACGGUAACAUAAGAAAAGCUUGCUUUUUUUGAUGACGAGUGGCGGACGGGUGAGUAAUGCUUGGGAAUCUGCCUUAUGGAGGGGGAUAACUACGGGAAACUGUAGCUAAUACCGCAUAAUAUCUACGGAUUAAAGUGUGGGAUCUUCGGACCACAUACCAUAAGAUGAGCCCAAGUGAGAUUAGGUAGUUGGUGAGGUAAAGGCUCACCAAGCUGACGAUCUCUAGCUGGUUUGAGAGGAUGACCAGCCACACUGGGACUGAGACACGGCCCAGACUCCUACGGGAGGCAGCAGUGGGGAAUAUUGCACAAUGGGCGCAAGCCUGAUGCAGCCAUGCCGCGUGAAUGAAGAAGGCUUUCGGGUUGUAAAGUUCUUUCAUUAGUGAGAAAGGUAUAAAUGUUAAUAGCAUUUGUAAUUGAUGUUAGCUAAAGAAGAAGCACCGGCUAACUCCGUGCCAGCAGCCGCGGUAAUACGGAGGGUGCGAGCGUUAAUCGGAAUAACUGGGCGUAAAGGGCAUGCAGGCGGUUACUUAAGUCAGAUGUGAAAGCCCCGAGCUUAACUUGGGAAUUGCAUUUGAAACUGGGUGACUAGAGUCCUCUAGGGAGGGGUAGAAUUCCACGUGUAGCGGUGAAAUGCGUAGAGAUGUGGAGGAAUACCGAAGGCGAAGGCAGCCCCUUGGAGAGAGACUGACGCUCAUAUGCGAAAGCGUGGGGUAGCAAACAGG